GCACCAGAGGAGGAAGGUCAAACUUUUAUUUAUGCUUGACGAGGUGGAUCGAAGAUACAACCAUUACUGUGAACAAAUGCAAAUGGUAGUGAAUUCAUUUGAUCUAGUAAUGGGGUUUGGAGCAGCAGUUCCUUACACAGCCCUUGCCCAGAAGGCCAUGUCGAGGCAUUUUCGGUGUCUAAAGGAUGCAAUUGCCGCACAAUUGAAACAUAGUUGUGAACUAAUUGGGGAGAAAGAUGGAGCUGGAAGCUCAGGUAUAACAAAAGGAGAGACUCCAAGGCUAAGAUUGUUAGAGCAAAGCUUAAGACAACAAAGAGCCUUUCAUCAAAUGGGUAUGAUGGAACAAGAAGCUUGGAGACCACAGAGAGGCCUACCUGAACGAUCUGUCAACAU
rnacentral:misc_RNA from 1 species